rnacentral:lncRNA from 1 species
UUUUGUUUUGUUUUUACCCCUAUUAGUUUUUGUUGUGCUUUAUUUUCUUCUCUGGCUUUUCCUGUAAAUAGAAAACCCCCAGGGUUUGUUUUUCCUUCUAUUCUACGCCACCCUGUGGGCUUCCUCCCACAGGCCGGCCCACUCCCUCCUCUCUCUGGCGCAGUAGCCCAGGGCGCGUCCCUCUUCUUCCUCCUUUCCAGCUCGACACCUGGG